CAGCACUAAUAUGAUACAGCAUAAAACAUUAAUGCUGUAGCAACACAUAAUAUUAGCAUAAUUCCCCAUUAAAACUGCAAUGGCAACGUGACUGAUACAUCCCAACAAGGCUGUUGGUGGACAUCCCGGAAGGUGGUACAAACCCAGAAAAGGUACCCAGCAAAUCCUACAGUCUGAACCACCUGAGGCAUAGACUGAAGAGGAGAACUUGCGGCACAUGCUUCUGUGCUUUUCAGAACUGAUGGAGGACCUGUAGUCAGCAGAGACUAUACAGUUCCCACCACUAUGUUCUCACUAUCCUAGAAGAACCUUCAGCUAAGAAUUCUCAUAAGUACCUCAGCUGCCUCAGGGCAGAUGGGGCCGAAGAUGGCCGAGAUGUUCUCCUUCCACACCUGGUCGAUAAAGGCGGCGAGGGAAGAC